rnacentral:lncRNA from 1 species
GGGUGCCGUCCUCCUUCAAACUGGAAUACCCAAGGGCGAUGUCGGCCGGGUCUAGCUCCGGUAGCCACGCCUUGGCCCGGCUUAAAGCGGCUAUGGCUCCGGCUCUUGCAGAAGCUCGUCUCAAUUCCUGGAAUCGUUGAGGUAGCACGGCAAGCCGCCUUAGCACAUCCGCCAGACGAGUGGGAACUUCAUUUGACAGAGCCACGACGGCUAAGGCACGUUGUGACCCGGUGUAGAGUUGUUCCGCCAGGGUAUAAACGGCCUUCAGCUUUGUCAGCAUGUUUUGGUUGAGAUUGGAACUCCUGGGGCCUGCAUUACAAGGUCAGGUGAGCUGAUGACAAUUGAGAUGCUUGUUGAAAAAGAUUUAAGCUAGCUAACACUUAUAGAGUAACUUACCAAAGAUUGCUGAGACCAUCUGAGAUACAUGGCGUUUUAAGCCGGAUAACUCGACGGUUGUUUCUGCAAGAGUGGCCUCCGCUUGUUCAGCCCGGUGGAGCAAAACAACCUUUUCAUCAGCCCAAGCUUUUCUCUCGGCUUCAAACUUCUUUUUUAGUUUUUCUUAUUCGGAUACACUAAAUUCAAACUUGGAAUUGGCCUUUUGGGUCUCACUCUCUUGAGUUUUCAGGCGAGUCUUCAGCUCAGAGAUCUCCGAUUCAAAUUGAUUGAUAGCGGCCUGUAUAAAUUCCGGGUUACAGUUAGGGUUGUCAUAAUGCAACAUUAAGUCCCAAGCACUUUGCAAGCAAAGAUACUUGGCACUUGGGGGCUAAUGUAUGCUGAAGAACUCUAUUUACAGUGGCGGUUCAUGGAAAUAAGUCCCAAGCACUUUGCAGGCAAAGGUACUUGGCACUUGGUACUUGACACAUCCAGCCGGGUUUUGCGGCGUUCCAGAAGUUCUUUGGCGGAGCACUUCCAGCGCGGUGGGUCUCCCCGGUUCAACGAAGUCAGUCCGGAUGAUUUUGACGUCCGGGUCAUCCGCCUUGGCCAGGCUAGGGUUCUCUGGGUUCUCAGAACCUUCCAUAGCUUGUUCGACGGACGGAUCAGUGGUGAGAGUUGGAGUAUCAUGGGCUGGUUCAGGGGGCGGCUCAUAAGCGGAAGUAUCAGGAGCAGCCGUUCUGAGCUCCGGUUCAGCAAAGAUUGGCUCUUCGGCCGGCUUACUUCUCUUCGUCCUCUUGCUGGGCUUUACUUGUACACUGAAAAUUAAAGGGUUAGUACGAAAGCAUGAGUAAGAUCAGCACAAGAUAAACAGAUUAUCAUUACCCUGGAGCGGUUUUGAAAGCCGGCAUGCUGGACUGCAUUGAUUCGCCGGAGGAAGGUUAAGUUCCCUAGUAAUUUGAGUCAGAAGAAUUGAGUGGUUGACGAGUAAAACCCGCCAAAGGGUACAAAGAAUAUAAAUUGGAGAUAACCUCAGUCCGGCGUUUCCUGGUUACAUCGGGUAAGCCGGAGGAGAGGUCCGCAUCUUUACUGGUCCGGGUCUGCCUCCGACUCUCGUGAAUCUAUCGCUUCAAAAGAAAUUGAGGAUCUUGAUAAGCUAAAGGAUGUGAAAAUCUUACUUUCCGGGUUACCCUUCGGACUUUCUGUCUCGGCAAAGGCUCGGAGUCGGAGGAAAUUAUAGUUACCUCUUCAAUUACUGCAUGACUUGCUCCUGUAUCCUCCUGUUGAUAAUCAGUGUCAAUAAGAUGGUUAAAGAAGGAGCCUAAAGAGUCAAGAGUUACCUCUGACUCGGAGAUAUCGUCCAGAUGAAACAUAUCCGAGGCGCUAGGUUUGUUCCCCUUCUUACGGGCAGCGGCUUUCCUGGCGGCUUUCUUGGCCUUUCUGGCUUUCUUUGCAGCCUCAUGGUCAUACUUGACCUUCCAGAAUUUAUCAUCAGCCUGUAAAAUAUAGCAAGAGUUUUUAAGUAAAGAUAAAAUUAUUAAAGUGGAAAGUAAGAUGCUCAAGUUAAUGGUUUACCGCUGGAGCCGGGUUAGCCUUGCAGAAAGGACUUAAGCCCGCUUUCCCGCAAUCUGCCAGGCUCUCGUUCAGAAGAGACUUGGUCAUGUCAUCAACAACAUCCUCAGGUAAGUCGUCAGGACUGUGCCGUAGAGGAUCAUUUUUCUGGCCUGUGUAAUCACACAUCAAGCCGGAACGGCGGCUCAAAGGAAUCACCCGCCAGGCAAUCCAAACCCGGACCAAGUCAAUGCCGUUUAGGCCGUUCCCCAGAAGAGCUUUGAUCUUGUUUAUGGUGGGGGCAAGUGUUUGACGUUCAGCCGGAGAUAAUUUAUCUGGUAAGGGGUGAGUUGACUCCAGGCGCAGGGCGCGAAAGCCGGGCAAAGGGUUCUCAUUAGCCGGAGAAGUGUCUUGACAGUAGAACCAUGUCUGGUUCCAAUCUUUAGGGUGGCUCGGCCGCUCGGCAUAAGGGAAGAGACAGUCUCUACGUCGCUGGAUUAAGAUUCCGCCAAGCUCCAAGCUGGGCCUGUGGGCACAUUAGUUUUGACGGUUCAGAUAAAUUAACUCUCUAAAGAGUAGUAAGCUGGGUUCUUCUCCAAGGUACACCUCACAGAAUACUUGGAAAUUGCAGAUGUUUGACACGGAAUUGGGUCCGAUGUCUUGAGGUCGCAGGUCAAAAAAGUGCAAGACGUCUCUGAAAAUUUUUGAGCCAGGUGGAGCAAAGCCCCGGUUCAUGUGAUCAGUAAAAAUGACAACUUCCCCAUCCUUGGGUUGAGGCUUUUCUUCUAACAGGUCAGGAGCACGAUAAGACAUGAUCUCUUUCUUCGGCAGAUGACCAGUCUUCACAAAAUCGUUUAAGAUGCUAUCAGUGACGGUGGAUCUAACCCAGUUGCAUAUGACGGGUGCUUUGGGAGCCUUGGGUGGCAUUAUGAAGAUGGAAGCCUAUGACAAAGUAAAAAUUUCCGGCUCAAAUUUAAGCCAGAGAAAAUAUUUCAAUUCAUAUUCAAGAUGGCGGCUUAUGAAGGGGCCUAAUGAUAUAUGGCUAAUUGUGUCAGAUUGUUUAAGCCACCAUGGGCAUCAUAAGCAAUUAAGUUAUUUAAAUCCACUAUGAGUGAUCAGGAUUAUUCAUUGAGCAUUGCCUCUUUAAGCCGGCGAUAAGAGCCGCCAUGGCUAACGGAUACAGUUUUUGCCUAAGUAUCGCACAAACAGGUUUCACAGGUUGCGGCUGUUAUUUUGGAUCAAACGGUCGUUCAGAAAAGAAAAUAUUCUAGACCUAAAAACUGGUACAAAUGAGUUCGUGAGCUCUAAUGAGGUCUUUUUACAAGCAAAAGGGAUCUGCUAGUAUUGAAAAUGGACGCAAAACAACUACCGCAUGAGUUCUAUACCACUUUUGGAUCAAAGGAGACCGCGGUGGAAGAACUACGAAGAAACCGUGAUGAACUACGAAGAACACGGAAGAACGCAGAAACCCUAAUGCAGAUCUGACAUUCGAAAAGAGGAAUACUUACUGGAGUUGCUGAACAGCGGAGGUGCGUCGCAGUUCUCUGGUCAAAACAGGUUGAUGCAGCGGCCUUGGCUGGUGCAGACGCAAAGGUCGAC